GCCGACUCUCCACGGCAGAAGGUUUUAAGUAUGCUUAUGUUUAUUUCAGUCAAGUUAGGACAAUUUCUUUCGGGCCCUAGUGCUCAUCGGAUCUUAACAGAGUUUUGUGUAACAUAUCGGAUAACGCAUUUGAGUAAAAGUAGUUUACGGGUUAACACUGUCAAACUAAGCAAAACCAUCAUAAUAACGAAAUUUUCAGACUAAGCGAA
rnacentral:misc_RNA from 1 species